rnacentral:rRNA from 1 species
CACGUAGGGGGCAAGCGUUGUCCGGAUUUAUUGGGCGUAAAGAGCUCGUAGGCUGUUCGAUAAGUCGGGUGUGAAACCUCCAGGCUCAACCUGGAGACGCCACCCGAUACUGUCAUGACUAGAGUCCGGUAGGGGAGCGUGGAAUUCCUGGUGUAGCGGUGAAAUGCGCAGAUAUCAGGAGGAACACCAGCGGCGAAGGCGGCGCUCUGGGCCGGUACUGACGCUGAGGCGCGAAAGCCAGGGGAGCAAACGGG